rnacentral:lncRNA from 1 species
GUGAUGAAGCCGAUUGUCUUCAUUUCCCACUGAGCCAUCAUUUCCCCAGUAUGGAACUGCUGUUCGGCUGCUUGUGGAGAAGACCUCGGCCCUGAAGAAGCUUCUGAAACUCUGCAAGACAGUGAGGUGCUGAUGCCAGAACUUUCCUCUGGGGAGAAGGAGGUGUGCGUAUCACAGCGGCAUGGGGGUGGCAACUCUUCCUCUGAAGGCAUUUUCCAGAAUACCCCUUCUCGGCCCAAUAGGAACAGGUUUGGGGGUGCCAGGGCCUCUCUCAGCAAGUUGCCUAAUCCCCACCUGCUGGCAGUCUGCCUUCAACCCCCACCAGAGUUUCUCAUAUGGCAGACUCACCUGGGCUUGGGUAGGGGGAGGACGCGCGGGAGCCAGCCUCCAUUGGCAGGAUGGCGGAGUCUCCCAGCCAAGACCAGGACUUUAUCACGUCCCAGCCACAUCUGCUCAAUGUACAGACUUCAGGGAGUGUCAGAGCCGUCAGCCCCAUUCCUGCUGGCGGCUGAGGACUGGGAGGAGAAUCAGGGACCUUGAAAGGGCUCCGAAAGAGUCAGACAGUCUGGAUCGCAGAGGACGCUUGCCGGCUGGGACCACUGUGCCUUUCAUCUUCAUCUUUUGCUUUUCUUGCAUUUCCUGUAUUUUCCACAUUGAACACAUAGAUAAACAGAAAUGCAAUGGGAAAUAA